rnacentral:rRNA from 1 species
UACGUAGGAUGCAAGCGUUAUCCGGAAUUAUUGGGCGUAAAGCGAACGUAGGCGGUUGCUUAAGUUUGGGGUUAAAGACCAAGGCUCAACCUUGGGAGUGCCCUGAAUACUGGGCAGCUGGAGGACGGCAGAGGAAAGUGGAAUUCCCAGUGUAGCGGUGAAAUGCGUAGAUAUUGGGAGGAACACCAGUGGCGAAAGCGACUUUCUGGGACGGUACUGACGCUGAGACGCGAAAGCGUGGGGAGCGAACAGG